AACGAACGCUGGCGGCAGGCCUAACACAUGCAAGUCGAACGCCCCUUUCGGGGGGAGUGGCGCACGGGUGAGUAACGCGUGGGAAUCUGCCCUUUGGUCUGGAAUAACCCUGGGAAACUAGGGCUAAAACCGGAUGAGCCCCGAGAGGGGGAAAGUUUACGCCGAAGGAGGAGCCCGCGUCCGAUUAGCUAGUUGGUGAGGUAAGAGCUUACCAAGGCGACGAUCGGUAGCUGGUCUGAGAGGACGAUCAGCCACACUGGGACUGAGACACGGCCCAGACUCCUACGGGAGGCAGCAGUGGGGAAUAUUGGACAAUGGGCGCAAGCCUGAUCCAGCCAUGCCGCGUGAGUGAUGAAGGCCUUCGGGUUGUAAAGCUCUUUUGGCGGGGACGAUGAUGACGGUACCCGCAGAAUAAGCCCCGGCAAACUUCGUGCCAGCCGCCGCUGUAA
rnacentral:rRNA from 1 species